GCCUGGGUAGCUCAGUUGGUAGAGCAUCAUCAGACUUUUAAUCUGAGUCUUCAGGGUCCAAGUCCCCGUUCAGGUG
rnacentral:tRNA from 1 species